rnacentral:rRNA from 1 species
UACGGGGGGGGCAAGCGUUGUUCGGAAUUACUGGGCGUAAAGGGCUCGUAGGUGGCCAAUUAAGUCAGACGUGAAAUCCCCAGGCUUAACCUGGGAACUGCGUCUGAUACUGGUUGGCUUGAAUUCGGGAGAGGGAUGCAGAAUUCCAGGUGUAGCGGUGAAAUGCGUAGAUAUCUGGAGGAACACCGGUGGCGAAGGCGGCAUCCUGGACCGGCAUUGACGCUGAGGCGCGAAAGCCAGGGGAGCAAACGGG